AUGUGUGAGGAGGAGCGUGUUGGCGCUGCCAUUGUAAGGGCAGGAAUACCGGCUCAUCACGUACAAGUUCAUGAGGUUUUUGUACGGCCUCGGAAUGAGUCUGUAUCACUGUGGUACACUUUUGGAGGAGGCACCAAACUCAUCGCUGACUCGGGGGUGGUGCGGCCCACCCUGAGCAUCCUCCCCCCCUCCAGAGUAGAGCUGCAGCAGGGCAGUGCCACACUUGUGUGUAUGGCCGACGGGGGCUUCCCCUCUGCCUGGAGGCUGGGCUGGAAGGUGGGGGGCAGCAGCAGGACCUCAGGGGUGUCAGACAGCCUGGAGCAGCUGGGGAGUGACGGACACUACAGGUGGAGCAGCACCCUCAGCCUCCCUGCAGACCAGUGGAAGAAGAUGGGCUCAGUCAGCUGUGAGGCCACCCUGAACGGUCAGACGUCUGUCACUCAAACCCUGGACCCUGACCGCUGUUCAGAGUAGAGAGGCAGCAGUAGUGAAUCUCUAUACAGAUGAAAUCUUCCUAUAGAGUCACCUUAACCAAAGUCUGUUUAGGUCCUGUCAAUAUGUCAGCUAUUACUUUGCCUUUAGGUUUGAUUAGAAAUACUUCAUCAAAUAUGUGUCUGUAAUAGAUUAGCUUUGCUCUUUUUCUGUACUCGUUGCUGAGAUCAACUGCAAAUGUUGUGACAUAGAAAUUAAGUAUUGAUGCAAAAAAUAAAGAAAAAUGUUGCCACAUU